UAUCAGCCCGUUUUUAACUUAAAGUAUAUUCUUUUGAUUGUUAUUUAUAAAGUUAUACACAAUGCGUUUAUUACACACAUAUUGUUUAUUUUUUUGUUUUUAUUUUAUAAAACCGUCAGUCACUACCAUGACAAAAGGAUUAUGGCAAAAAUUAGGAAAAUAUAUGGAUAUAACAAAUGAAAAACUUGAAAACGUAGACGAC